rnacentral:rRNA from 1 species
GUUGUAUGGUUAAGUGACUAAGCGUACACGGUGGAUGCCUUGGCAGUCAGAGGCGAUGAAAGACGUAGUAACUUGCGAUAAGCCCAGAUUAGGUAGUAACAACCAUUUGAGUCUGGGAUUUCUGAAUGGGGAAACCCACGUGCAUAAGCACGUAUCCUUACCUGAAUACAUAGGGUAAGGAGGCGAACCGGGGGAACUGAAACAUCUAAGUACCCCGAGGAAAAGAAAUCAACCGAGAUUCCGAAAGUAGCGGCGAGCGAAAUUGGACUAGCCCUUAAGCUUUACACGCGUUAGACGAACGGUCUGGAAAGUCCGACGAUACAGGGUGAUAGUCCCGUAGUUGACGACGUGUGUUCAGUGAAAUCGAGUAGGGCGGGGCACGUGAUAUCCUGUCUGAAUAUGGGGGGGACCAUCCUCCAAGGCUAAAUACUACUGACUGACCGAUAGUGAACCAGUACCGUGAGGGAAAGGCGAAAAGAACCCCUGUGAGGGGAGUGAAAUAGAACCUGAAACCGUGUACGUACAAGCAGUAGGAGCAGGCUUUGUCCUGUGACUGCGUACCUUUUGUAUAAUGGGUCAGCGACUUAUAUUCAGUGGCAAGGUUAACCAUCUAGGGGAGCCGUAGGGAAACCGAGUCUUAACUGGGCGUUCAGUCUCUGGAUAUAGACCCGAAACCAGGUGAUCUAGCCAUGGGCAGGUUGAAGGUUGAGUAACAUCAACUGGAGGACCGAACCGACUAAUGUUGAAAAAUUAGCGGAUGACUUGUGGCUAGGGGUGAAAGGCCAAUCAAACCUGGAGAUAGCUGGUUCUCCCCGAAAGCUAUUUAGGUAGCGCCUCGGACGAAUACUACUGGGGGUAGAGCACUGUUAAGGCUAGGGGGUCAUCCCGACUUACCAACCCUUUGCAAACUCCGAAUACCAGUAAGUACUAUCCGGGAGACACACGGCGGGUGCUAACGUCCGUCGUGGAGAGGGAAACAACCCAGACCGCCAGCUAAGGUCCCAAAUUACUACUAAGUGGGAAACGAUGUGGGAAGGCUCAGACAGCCAGGAUGUUGGCUUAGAAGCAGCCAUCAUUUAAAGAAAGCGUAAUAGCUCACUGGUCGAGUCGGCCUGCGCGGAAGAUGUAACGGGGCUAAGUAGUAAACCGAAGCUGCGGCAAUGUGCUUUUGCACAUUGGGUAGGGGAGCGUUCUGUAAGCGGUUGAAGGUGUGUGGUAACGCAUGCUGGACGUAUCAGAAGUGCGAAUGCUGACAUGAGUAACGAUAAAGGGGGUGAAAAACCUCCUCGCCGGAAGACCAAGGGUUCCUGUCCAACGUUAAUCGGGGCAGGGUAAGUCGACCCCUAAGGCGAGGCCGAAAGGCGUAGUCGAUGGGAAACGGGUUAAUAUUCCCGUACUUCUUACAAUUGCGAUGGGGGGACGGAGAAGGCUAGGUGGGGCCUGGCGACGGUUGUCCAGGUUCAAGUGCGUAGGCUUGAGAGUUAGGUAAAUCCGGCUCUUUUUAAGGCUGAGACACGACGUCGAGCACCUACGGGUGUGAAGUCAUUGAUGCCAUGCUUCCAGGAAAAGCCUCUAAGCUUCAGAUUGUAAGGAAUCGUACCCCAAACCGACACAGGUGGUCGGGUAGAGAAUACCAAGGCGCUUGAGAGAACUCGGGUGAAGGAACUAGGCAAAAUGGUACCGUAACUUCGGGAGAAGGUACGCUCUCGACGGUGAAGUCCCUCGCGGAUGGAGCUAUUGAGAGUCGCAGAUACCAGGUGGCUGCAACUGUUUAUUAAAAACACAGCACUGUGCAAAAUCGUAAGAUGACGUAUACGGUGUGACGCCUGCCCGGUGCCGGAAGGUUAAUUGAUGGGGUUAGACUUCGGUCGAAGCUCUUGAUCGAAGCCCCGGUAAACGGCGGCCGUAACUAUAACGGUCCUAAGGUAGCGAAAUUCCUUGUCGGGUAAGUUCCGACCUGCACGAAUGGCGUAAUGAUGGCCACGCUGUCUCCACCCGAGACUCAGUGAAAUUGAAAUCGCUGUGAAGAUGCAGUGUACCCGCGGCUAGACGGAAAGACCCCGUGAACCUUUACUACAGCUUGGCACUGAACAUUGACCCUACAUGUGUAGGAUAGGUGGGAGGCUUUGAAGCACGUACGCCAGUAUGUGUGGAGCCGUCCUUGAAAUACCACCCUUGUAGUGUUGAUGUUCUAACGUCGACCCCUUAUCGGGGUUGCGGACAGUGCCUGGUGGGUAGUUUGACUGGGGCGGUCUCCUCCCAAAGAGUAACGGAGGAGCACGAAGGUGGGCUAAUCACGGUUGGACAUCGUGAGGUUAGUGCAAUGGCAUAAGCCCGCUUGACUGCGAGAAUGACAAUUCGAGCAGGUGCGAAAGCAGGUCAUAGUGAUCCGGUGGUUCUGAAUGGAAGGGCCAUCGCUCAACGGAUAAAAGGUACUCCGGGGAUAACAGGCUGAUACCGCCCAAGAGUUCAUAUCGACGGCGGUGUUUGGCACCUCGAUGUCGGCUCAUCACAUCCUGGGGCUGAAGUCGGUCCCAAGGGUAUGGCUGUUCGCCAUUUAAAGUGGUACGCGAGCUGGGUUUAGAACGUCGUGAGACAGUUCGGUCCCUAUCUGCCGUGGGCGUUGGAAGAUUGAAGGGGGCUGCUCCUAGUACGAGAGGACCGGAGUGGACGAACCUCUGGUGUUCGGGUUGUGUCGCCAGACGCAUUGCCCGGUAGCUAAGUUCGGAAUCGAUAACCGCUGAAAGCAUCUAAGCGGGAAGCGAGCCCUGAGAUGAGUCUUCCCUGAUAUUUUAAGUAUCCUAAAGGGUUGUCGGAGACUACGACGUUGAUAGGUCAGGUGUGUAAGUGCUGUGAGGCAUUGAGCUAACUGAUACUAAUUGCCCGUGAGGCUUAACCAUACAACACCUAAGGGGUUU